rnacentral:misc_RNA from 1 species
GAUGAAGAACGCAGCGAAAUGCGAUAAGUAAUGUGAAUUGCAGAAUUCAGUGAAUCAUCGAAUCUUUGAACGCACAUUGCGCCCGCCAGUAUUCUGGCGGGCAUGCCUGUUCGAGCGUCAUUACAACCCUCAGGCCCCCGGGCCUGGCGUUGGGGAUCGGCGGAAGCCCCCUGCGGGCACAACGCCGUCCCCCAAAUACUGUGGCGGUCCCGCCGCAGCUUCCAUUGCGUAGUAGCUAACACCUCGCAACUGGAGAGCGGCGCGGCCACGCCGUAAAACACCCAACUUCUGAAUGUUGGCCUCGAAUCAGGUAGGAAUACCCGCUGAACUUAAGCAUAUCAAUAAGCGGAGGA